UAUAUCAAGUAAUGAUGUCACAGCUUUAUGAUGGUAUCAAUGACAUCAAGCAGUGAUGUCACUGUAUUGUCAUGUCAUCUCAUUACACAGUGCAUUUCAGCUUCACGUCUUAUUGUUGGAUGAAGUUCUAAAAUCAAGUAAUCCACCUUCUUUGAUACCAUUUUUUUUAUAUUAUCAUGCAUCUCAAAAUUAAUAAUUAAAAUGUUUUCAAAUAAGCCCAGAAAGAUCUCUAUUGUACUGCCUUAUAAAUGUUCUUAAAAACGCAUAAGAUAGGUCAUUGGUUACAUUCUUUUUCAGAACCCACUGGCAGUUCUGAAAGCACCCAUGGCGGAUUGUGCAGAAAAGAAGACAUCUUCUUUUUAGCUGCCAUCCAUGGGUAUCAAUAGGAAUCCAGUUUAGCCUCUUUGUUGUCCACUGGCAGUCCUGAGUCACCCAUGGUGGAAUGUGCAGAGAAGAAGCAGCCUUCUUUUUUGCUGCCAUCUAUGGGUGGAAACAGGGAUCAAGUGGAGCUUCUUCCAUUGGAUGAGGAGCUGGAUCACACAGCUGAUAACCCACUGACAGUCCUGACUCACCCAUGGUGGAAUGUGCAGAGAAGAAGCAGCCUUCUUUUUUGCUGCCAUCUAUGGGUGGAAACAGGGAUCAAGUGGAGCUUCUUCCAUUGGAUGAGGAGCUGAAUCAUAGAGCUGAUAAUUGUCCUGCAUCGCUAUGGACACAGCAACGAUCAUCUAUUGCAUUGUAUCUGAUGUGAUGGACACAUAACGUCCUAAACCAGUGAGAACUGU